rnacentral:lncRNA from 1 species
GGGGCUCUGAGUAGAAGCAUCUAGGGGGUCCCUCAAGAGGCCCCCAAACGCUUCCCCAUGGUGAGAAAAGAAGGCGCAGAGAGGGGCACGGCGCCGGCGCAGAGGGGCACACAGCGAGAUUUGCUGUUUUCUGCCUCCUGCUAAGCCAAUUUAUACAUUCCAAGAAAAUCUUCCAUUUCAUCCAGGUGAAACGGAACCUACUGGAAUGAAGCUGGCCUCCCAUGGAAUGAAGCUGGCCUCCCGUCUCCUUGAUUUGAAGCAGCUUCUCCACGUUGGUUAUUAUGCCAUUUUUCUAAAUCUAACAUUUUAAAAUUUGUGCCUUUUCUUUCUCUUUUGCUUGACUUCUCAGAGGUUUUUUUAACGGUCUUUUCAAAGAAGUGGUUUUGGGUUUUAUUUAUCAAGUCUACUUUUAUUAUGGCUGUUUUAAAAUUAAAUACAUUUAUUUCUUGUUUCCCUU